CCUUCACCCCAGUCUCCCACUCUCUCUCCCAGCUGCUUCUCUGAUGAGAUGACCUUGUUUGACAUCAGCAGCAGUGACAGCCUCAGGGGCCAUCCCAACUGCUUCCCACCAAAGGCAGCAAAAUCCCCUUUGCAAACUCUCAUAAGCAUGAAUUUUCCAAAGACCUCUUUUACUGAGAAACUCGAGCAAACCAACACAAGCCAAUAACUGGGAGAGCAACAUGGUGUGAAAAAGAAAAACAGCACUUCGAGUCCUAGUUUCAUCAUGUACAAUGAAUAUGUGUAGCCUUGGAAGUAACCCUGGACUUAGUAUUUUUAUCAGUAAAAUGGAGAGAGUAUUCGUAACAGCUGCCCUGCGUCCAUCACGAGAAACUGCAAGGAAGAAAAGUGGACAAAUCACAUGAUGGCAUCUGGCCAACUGCAAAUCACAAGGCAGCUUGUAUUCCCAGCAGCCAUAAGAUGGGACAUUAAUAUGUCCUACACAGGGCUAUUGUGUGGAUUCUUCCGUGUUUUACAUUGCGUGCUUACUAGGGACUGGGCACACUGUGUGUGUGGGUUAAGACAAAGUUCUUGCCUCCGCGGAGCUUACAUUCCAGGGGGCGGGCAGACAGUGAACAAAUACACAUCUUAAUGCCAGUUAGUGAUGAAUGAAAAGCAAAUAAAGAUAUAGUGAAUCGUGGGACGAAGAAGGCCGUUGGCUGCAUAUCCAGGAAGGUGUCUGGGGAACACAUUGUCACACUUACACUGGACAGGCACCACAGCGAAGUGACAGUGUGGGUAACGGGAAGAAUGGAGGUGCAAAAGAAACGGCAAAUGCAAAGGCCCUGCGGCAGGAACAGAAGGAAGACAAAUGUGAUCGGGGCAUGUAAGCGACGUACGGGAGAUGAGUUCUCAGAGGAAGGCCAGGGCCCGACGCUGUGGGUUCUCCUAACCCAAAGAAAAGAGUCUGCACAUCACCCUGUGUGCGUUGUGAAGCUACUGGGGUGGGGAUGCAGGGAAUUGAACAAGGAAUGACACCUACGGGUUUAUGUAUUUUGAGAAAGAGUUCUGGCUGCUGCAGAAUGGAUGGGAACAUGAGAAAGGGGAAGAGAGUAAAGUACAGAAAGCAGCUAGCAGCCAUUGCAGGUGUCUCAGCAAAGGACCAAAGUACCGAUGGUAACGGGAAUGCAAAGUUGUGCAAAGGCUACUGAUUCUUCCAAAAUGAAGAUGCUCUAUUCAAGAGGCAAAGAAAUAACGUCUAAGUAGCUUCCUGUACUAUGGAAUAUUUGAGUUGGAGCGAACACUCCGUGAUCUAUCAGUUCCCGCACUGUACUCCUACUGAGAUGAGAAGUACAUACACGAGAGAGAUGGUUGGCGGCAAGGUAACAAAGAAAAGCCCAGAGUUUUGAAAAGCCCAGAGUUGCCUCUUGUCUGAAAUUUUCCUGGUGUUCUUGACAAAAGAUCUGAGAGGAGGAGAAAUUAACA